rnacentral:rRNA from 1 species
AAAUAAGCGGUGGAAAAGAAACCAACAGGGAUUCCCUCAGUAGCGGCGAGCGAAGAGGGAAGAGCCCAGCGCCGAAUUCCCCGCCCGGAAGGGCGUUCGGAACAUGUGGCGUUUAGGAGGAAUCUCUCCGGAGGCAGACGGUGUCGCAAGUCCCCCUGAACGGGGCUGUGAUCCAGAGCGGGUGCGAGGCCCAUAGCUGGUACCGUCUCCUUCGGGUGUCACCUCCUAGGAGUCGGGUUGCUUGGGAGUGCAGCCCUAAUUGGGUGGUAAACUCCACCUAAGGCUAAAUACGUCCGUGAGACCGAUAGCAAACAAGUACCGUGAGGGAAAGUUGCAAAGAACUUUGAAGAGAGAGUUCAAGAGUACGUGAAACCGCUCAGAGGCAAACGGGUGGGCCCACGAAAGCCGAAGGCGGGGGGAUUCAGUCGAGAGGACGUCGGGGCAGUGCCUGCUGGUUCGACGGACCGUGCCAGGCCGGGUUGGCUCCCGAGACCCUUCGCCUCUCGACGCAUUUCCCUCUGCUUAGUAGGACGCCGCAACCCGUCGGUGCACUCAGCCAUAAGGGAGAGUCAUCGGAAGGUAGCCAGCGAGCACUUCUUCGGAGGAGCGAGCUGGUCCUAUAGCCCGCUCUCCUGGUGCUUGAGGCCCGACGGUGGUCUGGAGUCCCUUCACGGGACGUCGCCGAGCCCUUCUCGAGCGAGCGGGAGCGUACGGCAGGCUGCUUUCCGCGACCUAAAACCGGUCGCUCCACACGAGCAGUGGGCGACCUUCGGAGGCGGCUGCUGGAACGUACGUUUCCCGCGCUGGGCACAGGCAGUUGGCGGCGAGUAGGUCGGUCACCCACCCGACCC